rnacentral:rRNA from 1 species
AGAGUUUGAUCCUGGCUCAGAAUCAACGCUGGCGGCGCGCUUAAUACAUGCAAGUCGAACGAGAAAGUGGAGCAAUCCAUGAGUAAAGUGGCGUACGGGUGAGUAACACGUGGAUCAUCUGCCCUAGAGUGGGGAAUAACCAGGGGAAACCUUGGCUAAUACCGCAUAAUCCCGAGAGGGGAAAGCAGAAAUGCGCUCAAGGAGGAGUCCGCGGUCAAUUAGCUAGUUGGUAGGGUAAUGGCCUACCAAGGCUACGAUCGAUAGCCGGCCUGAGAGGGCACACGGCACACUGGCACUGAAACACGGGCCAGACUCCUACGGGAGGCAGCAGUGGGGAAUCUUGCACAAUGGAGGAAACUCUGAUGCAGCGACGCCGCGUGAGCGAUGAAGCCCUUCGGGGUGUAAAGCUCUUUCGUCAGGGAAGAUUAUGACGGUACCUGGAGAAGCAGCUGCGGCUAACUACGUGCCGGCAGCCGCGGUAAUACGUAGGCAGCAAGCGUUGUUCGGAGUUACUGGGCGUAAAGGGUGUGUAGGCGGCCUUCUAAGUUUGGUGUGAAAUCUCCCGGCUCAACCGGGAGGGUGCGCCGAAGACUGGGGGGCUAGAGUAUGGGAUGGGAAAAGGGAAUU